rnacentral:misc_RNA from 1 species
ACAUGGCAUGAUCCUGCACGUGGAACAGUUAGUGGUGGCAUGAUAAGGGAUCUUCUUAUAUCCUUCAGAAAGGCCACAGGCCAAAAGCCACAAAGGAUAAUCUUUUAUCGGGAUGGAGUGAGUGAAGGUCAAUUUUACCAAGUACUGCUUUUCGAGUUAGAUGCAAUUAGGAAGGCUUGUGCGUCUUUAGAACCAAAUUAUCAACCGCCAGUAACUUUUAUCGUGGUACAGAAACGACA